CCACAAAUAAUUUGACUAAUUAAUUCAGAAAAGAAAAAUCAAAGGGGGUCAACAAACAGCAGAUACGAACGAGACAUAAACCAGAAGUUGGAUUCUUUCCCAAAACUGGUUACCAGGGAGACUAUCAAUGGCCAUAUAAGCAAAGUAACCCCAAAGCAGUGAAGAUGGAAUUCUCUUUAGAGCAGGCAUGGCGAAAACUGAAAUGGAAAAUAGCUUGCAUAUUGCCAUAAAUUUGGGAGUUGCUAGCCCUUUCAUGUAUGCUAGCUUUAGCACUUUCAACCAUCUUUCUGCGAAGCAAUUGUCGUUUGAGGACGGCGAGGGCCUUGGUGUGCAUAGGAGAGUGUGGGAUAAGAGCAUAGGAAGGAGGAAGUCCAAGCAACCCACAAAUCAAAGUCUGUACACAACCAAGUUUAAUUAAUUAAUUAAUAAUCAAGGCUCUAAUUUAUGUUAAUUUCUAGACCAAAAUGUUCAAAAGUACUAAUUGUAAUCAAAAAACUCGCAUUACAAGAAUUUAUA